ACGAUGAGGAGUUUGAUCCUGGCUCAGGAUGAACGCUAGCGGCAGGCCUAACACAUGCAAGUCGAGGGGCAGCGCGUCGCAGCAAUGCGAUGGCGGCGACCGGCGGAAGGGUGCGUAACGCAUGAGCGACGUGCCCCGCGCAGGGGGACAACCCCGGGAAACCGGGGCUAAUACCCCAUGGCGACUGUGUCCCGCAUGGGACGCGGUCUAAAGGAGCGAUCCGGCGCGGGAUCGGCUCGUGUGGCAUUAGCUAGACGGCGGGGUAACGGCCCACCGUGGCAACGAUGUCUAGGGGAACUGAGAGGUUGGUCCCCCACACUGGAACUGAGACACGGUCCAGACUCCUACGGGAGGCAGCAGUGAGGAAUAUUGGACAAUGGGAGGAAUCCUGAUCCAGCCAUGCCGCGUGCAGGCGACGGCCCUACGGGCCUUAAACUGCUUUUGCCGGGGGGCAACUGCGCGCACGAGCUGCGCGCGUGAGAGUACCCGGGGAAUAAGCAUCGGCUAACUCCGUGCCAGCAGCCGCGGUAAUACGGGGGAUGCGAGCGUUAUCCGGAUUCAUUGGGUUUAAAGGGCGCGCAGGCGGCCUGUCAAGUCGGCGGUGAAAUCCGCGGGCCCAACCCGCGAUGUGCCGUUGAUACUGUCAGGCUGGGAUACGUGCGCCGUGGGGGGAAUGCGUGGUGUAGCGGUGAAAUGCAUAGAUAUCACGCAGAACGCCGAUUGCGGAGGCACCUCACGAGCACGGGAUCGACGCUGAGGCGCGAAAGCGUGGGGAUCGAACAGG
rnacentral:rRNA from 1 species